rnacentral:rRNA from 1 species
CGGCGGACGGGUGAGUAAUGCCUAGGAAUCUGCCUGGUAGUGGGGGACAACGUUUCGAAAGGAACGCUAAUACCGCAUACGUCCUACGGGAGAAAGCAGGGACCUUCGGGCCUUGCGCUAUCAGAUGAGCCUAGGUCGGAUUAGCUAGUUGGUGAGGUAAUGGCUCACCAAGGCGACGAUCCGUAACUGGCUGAGAGGAUGAUCAGUCACACUGGAACUGAGACACGGUCCAGACUCCUACGGGAGGCAGCAGA